rnacentral:misc_RNA from 1 species
GAUGAAGAACGUAGCGAAAUGCGAUAAGUAAUGUGAAUUGCAGAAUUCAGUGAAUCAUCGAAUCUUUGAACGCAUCUUGCGCUCCUUGGUAUUCUGAGGAGCAUGCCUGUUUGAGUGUCAUUAAAUUCUCAACUACACUGACUUUGAAUUGGUGUGGCUUGGAUUUGGGGGGAAAAUUGUUGUGGGCUUUUUGUAUAGUCUGCUCCCCUGAAAUUGAUUCGCGGUACCUUUGUGGAACUGUCUACAGGUGUGAUAAUUAUCUACAUCUUAGACAUCUGCUGGAAUGCUGCUUUCUAAACCUUACUUGUAUUGACAAUCUUGACCUCAAAUCAGGUAGGACUACCCGCUGAACUUAAGCAUAUCAAUAAGCGGAGGA